rnacentral:rRNA from 1 species
CCUACGGGAGGCAGCAGUAGGGAAUCUUCCACAAUGGACGAAAGUCUGAUGGAGCAACGCCGCGUGAGUGAAGAAGGGUUUCGGAUCGUAAAGCUCUGUUGGCAGUGAAGAACGAUAGAGGUAGUAACUAGCCUUUAUUUGACGGUAAUUGCUUAGAAAGUCACGGCUAACUACGUGCCAGCAGCCGCGGUAAUACGGAGGGGGCGAGCGUUGACCGGAUUUAUUGGGCGUAAAGCGCGUGCAGGCGGUUUGAUAAGUCUGAUGUGAAAGCCUUCGGCUCAACCGGUGAAUUGCAUCAGAAACUGUUGAACUGGAGUGUAGAAGAGGAGAGUGGAACUCCAGGUGUAGCGGUGGAAUGCGUAGAUAUAUGGAAGAACACCAGUGGCGAAGGCGGCUAUCUGGUCUGCAACUGACGCUGAGGCUCGAAAGCAUGGGUAGCGAACAGGAUUAGAUACCCUGGUAGUC